rfam:Triticum aestivum genome assembly, contig: Triticum_aestivum_CS42_TGACv1_scaffold_289438_4AL
AAUCUACUUCCUCCGUUCGAAUUACUUGUCUUAGAUUUGUCUAGAUACGGAUGUAUCUAGACUCAUUUUAAUGCUAGAUACAUCUGUAUCUAGACAAAUCUAAGACAAGUAAUUCGGAACAGAGGGAGUAGUUU